UAAAAAAAGGUAAGCUACUAAGAGCGAAUGGUGGAUGCCUUGACUGGUAAAGGCGAUGAAGGACGUACUAGACUGCGAUAAGCUACGGGGAGCUGUCAAGAAGCUUUGAUCCGUAGAUUUCCGAAUGGGGCAACCCAAUGUAUAGAGAUAUACAUUACCUAUAUAGGAGCGAACGAGGGGAAUUGAAACAUCUUAGUACCCUCAGGAAAAGAAAUCAAUAGAGAUUGCGUCAGUAGCGGCGAGCGAAAGCGCAAGAGGGCAAACCCAGUGCUUGCACUGGGGGUUGUAGGACUGCAAUGUGCAAGAGCUGAGUUUAGCAGAACAUUCUGGAAAGUAUAGCCAUAGAGGGUGAUAGUCCCGUAUGCGAAAAACAAAGCUUAGCUAGCAGUAUCCUGAGUAGGGCGGGACACGAGGAAUCCUGUCUGAAUCCGGGUCGACCACGAUCCAACCCUAAAUACUAAUACCAGAUCGAUAGUGCACAAGUACCGUGAGGGAAAGGUGAAAAGAACUGAGGUGAUCAGAGUGAAAUAGAACCUGAAACCAUUUGCUUACAAUCAUUCAGAGCACUAUGUAGCAAUACAGUGUGAUGGACUGCCUUUUGCAUAAUGAGCCUGCGAGUUGUGGUGUCUGGCAAGGUUAAGCAAACGCGAAGCCGUAGCGAAAGCGAGUCUGAAUAGGGCGCUUAGUCAGAUGCUGCAGACCCGAAACGAAGUGAUCUAUCCAUGAGCAAGUUGAAGCUAGUGUAAGAACUAGUGGAGGACUGAACCCAUAGGCGUUGAAAAGCCCCGGGAUGACUUGUGGAUAGGGGUGAAAGGCCAAUCAAACUUCGUGAUAGCUGGUUCUCUCCGAAAUAUAUUUAGGUAUAGCGUUGUGUCGUAAUAUAAGGGGGUAGAGCACUGAAUGGGCUAGGGCAUACACCAAUGUACCAAACCCUAUCAAACUCCGAAUACCUUAUAUGUAAUCACAGCAGUCAGGCGGCGAGUGAUAAAAUCCGUCGUCAAGAGGGAAACAACCCAGACUACCAGCUAAGGUCCCUAAAUCUUACUUAAGUGGAAAACGAUGUGAAGUUACUUAAACAACCAGGAGGUUGGCUUAGAAGCAGCCAUCCUUUAAAGAAAGCGUAAUAGCUCACUGGUCUAGUGAUUUUGCGCGGAAAAUAUAACGGGGCUAAAGUAAGU
rnacentral:rRNA from 1 species